CAGAGAUGCUUUAGUGCCUUCGGGAACUCUGAGACAGGUGCUGCAUGGCUGUCGUCAGCUCGUGUUGUGAAAUGUUGGGUUAAGUCCCGCAACGAGCGCAACCCUUAUCCUUUGUUGCCAGCACGCAAGUGGUGGGAACUCAAAGGAGACUGCCGGUGAUAAACCGGAGGAAGGUGGGGAUGACGUCAAGUCAUCAUGGCCCUUACGAGUAGGGCUACACACGUGCUACAAUGGCGCAUACAAAGAGAAGCGACCUCGCGAGAGCAAGCGGACCUCAUAAAGUGCGUCGUAGUCCGGAUUGGAGUCUGCAACUCGACUCCAUGAAGUCGGAAUCGCUAGUAAUCGUAAAUCAGAAUGUUACGGUGAAUACGUUCCCGGGCCUUGUACACACCGCCCGUCACACCAUGGGAGUGGGUUGCAAAAGAAGUAGAUAGCUUAACCUUCGGGAGGGCGUUUACCACUUUGUGAUUCAUGACUGGGGUGAAGUCGUAACAAGGUAGGCGUAGUGCU
rnacentral:rRNA from 1 species